rnacentral:rRNA from 1 species
UACGUAGGGUGCAAGCGUUAAUCGGAAUUACUGGGCGUAAAGCGUGCGCAGGCGGUUCGUUGUGUCGGCGGUGAAAGCCCCGGGCUUAACCUGGGAAUGGCCGUUGAAACUGGCGAACUGGAGUGUGGCAGAGGGGGGUGGAAUUCCGCGUGUAGCAGCGAAAUGCGUAGAGAUGCGGAGGAACACCGAUGGCGAAGGCAGCCCCCUGGGCUAACACUGACGCUCAGGCACGAAAGCGUGGGGAGCAAACAGG